GCCAGCGGUAUAAAUGAAGAGGCGCUCUAGUUGUGCCGGUACUUGCGAUCCCUGCGUUCUGUGAGUGGCACCGCCGGCAGAAGCGGCUUUGUGACUCCCCGCGGUUUAUCUUGAAACAUAGGGCGCCAGGAGGCCGAUAUGAAGCCGCGAACAGCUGCCUAUAGGAAACCUGCUGCCCCUCAGGCUCCUGCCCCGCGUCCUCCUCCUCCUCCUGCUGCUGCUGCUGAAGCCGAUGCCGAUCCUAUUAACUUGCUGGUCAUUCAGCUCAGGCUGAUUGGGGAUAAAUGUGACGUCAAACAGAAUUUGCAGAAUCUGCUGGCGAAACUCUCUUCUUCCGGUACUUGACACAAGCACCAAACAACGGGGUAGGAUAAAAAAAAUCUGGAAAAAAAAAAGCAACUUGUGUUCUGCUAUAACAGUCUCUCAGGAAUCUACUUGGGAAAAGGAGAAAACAAUGGAGAGAUUGGAGACCCAUCGCCGGCUGCUCUGAGCUCCAUCUGCAGGAGGGAAUAUCCCCAGUGCAUGCUGGGAAGUGCAGGCAUCACUGACUCUUUCCAUAGGAAACAAUACACUGGAUGAGCUACCCACUGACUUUUACAUUUUACCAUUUUAAAUAAGAAAAGCUGUAGUGAUUGUGAAAUGCUCUCUGAUUGGUGUCUGUCCUGUGUCUUCUGUCAGCUGGACUGUUGGCCUUUAAGCAUCAAUCAAUUGCGGUUUUUGGUUGCGCACUGCUGGGAUUCAGUGGGUUUCUUAAAGCAAUAUUUACAGAUGAUCAGUGCUGCCCGGCUGGAAGCCUUUAGGCCGCCCAAGGGCUAUUUUUAUGGCCCCUGAACAAUAGGUAUAAUGGAUAUUUGCCCUACUAUGUUGGGGAAAUUGGGCAGCACACUUUGUUGUAUUUAAUAUUUAUUUUAACUUUUAUAUUAUGAUUUGUGCUCAACUUUGUUUUAAGCCUAUUAUGUGCUGCAGAUAAUAGAUUCCUAGGCCCUGGCACUUGUUCUGCAGUGGGUUAAAGUCAAGAUGUGGCUUCCUCUGCAACACUGUAGCACUUUUUAAAACUGUGUUUUCACUUUAUUUUUGUAUAUUAUGCAAAUGAAUUGUAACUAAAAAAGUUUUUGUUUUUUUUAUGUGAAUGUAUUACACUGCCAAAAGGCUUCUCCUCUUGCAACAAAAUGGUACCUGUUGUACAAAAAAAA